GGCCUGCAGGUAAUGGGGAGAAAACUGGAAUUUGGGGGAAUUUGGGGUUAUUUAAGGUCAUGGGGACCCCAUGUCUAUGGGGCUGGUGGCCAUAUGGGGUCUCCAUAUCUAUGGGGUCUCCAUAUCUAUGGGGCUGGUGGUGGCCAUAUGGGGUCUCCAUAUCUAUGGGGCUGGAGGUGGGGUCCCCAUAUCUAUGGGGCUGGUGGUGGCCAUAUGGGGUCUUCAUAUCUAUGGGGUCUCCAUAUCUAUGGGGCUGGUGGUGGCUAUAGGGUCCUUAGGGUGAAUUUAGGGUCAUUUUAAGGUAUAGGGAUGGUCUCUAUGGGGUCUCUAUGGGGAUUCUAUGGGGUCUCUAUGGGGUCUCUAUUGGGUUUCUAUGGGGUCUCCUAUAGAGAUGGUCUCUAUGGGGUCUCUAUUGGGUUUCUAUGGGGUCCCUAUGGGGUCUCCUAUAGAGAUGGUCUCUAUGGGGUCUCCUAUAGAGAUGGUUUCUAUGGGGUCUCUAUUGGGUUUCUAUGGGGGUCUCUAUUGGGUUUCUAUGGGGUCUCUAUGGGUUUCUAUGGGGUUUCCUAUAGAGAUGGUCUCUAUUGGGUUUCUAUAGGGUCUCUAUGGGGUCUCUAUUGGGUCUCUAUUGGGUUUCUAUGGGGUCUCUAUUGGGUUUCUAUGGGGUCUCUAUGGGGUCUCUAUGGGGUCUCUAUGGGGUCUCUAUUGGGUUUCUAUGGGGUCUCUAUGGGGUCUCUAU
rnacentral:lncRNA from 1 species